UCAAUCUCUAUGACUUAUGUCCCUGCUGUC
rnacentral:piRNA from 1 species